rnacentral:lncRNA from 1 species
GAGACUUUGGGAUCCUAUGGUGGGAACAGAGAAAAAGAAUUACUAAUGUUGAAAAGAGCUCAGGACGCUGAGGAAAAAUGGAGGGGCGCCCAAGCGCUAAUCGAGCAAAUUAAAAUGACGUUCUCUGAGAAGGAGAAGGAGUUGGAGAACACAGUGGAAAGCCUAAAGAGGCAGCAGGAGAGAGAGCUCUUCAAACUGAACCAAGAAAAUUACAUUCUUCAAGCCAAGUUAAGUAGCUUUGAAGAAACAAGCAGAAAACAGAGGUGGCUACAAUUUGGAGAAACAUCUGAUCCUCUCACUGAAGAGAAACUGAAACAAAUUCAAAAAGAGAUACAAGAACAAGAGACACUUCUUCAAGGCUACCAACAGG